UACAGAGGGUGCGAGCGUUAAUCGGAAUUACUGGGCGUAAAGCGUGCGUAGACGGCUAUCUAAGUCGGGUGUGAAAGCCCCGGGCUCAACCUGGGAAUUGCAUUCGAGACUGAAUAGCUAGGGUACGGUAGAGGGAAGUGGAAUUUCCGGUGUAGCGGUGAAAUGCGUAGAUAUCGGAAGGAACAUCGAGUGGCGAAAGCGACCUUCC
rnacentral:rRNA from 1 species